rnacentral:tRNA from 1 species
GACGAGGUGGCCGACUGCUUAAGGCGAUGGACUGCUAAUCCAUUGUGCUCUGCACGCGUGGGUUCGAAUCCCAUCCUCGUCG